rnacentral:rRNA from 1 species
GAUGAACGCUGGCGGCGUGCCUAAUACAUGCAAGUCGAGCGAACGGACGAGACGCUUGCUUUUCUGAUGUUAGCGGCGGACGGGGGAGUAACACGUGGAUAACCUACCUAUAAGACUGGGAUAACUUCGGGAAACCGGAGCUAAUACCGGAUAAUAUUCUGAACCGCAUGGUUCAAAAGUGAAAGACGGUCUUGCUGUCACUUAUAGAUGGAUCCGUGCUGCAUUAGCUAGUUGGUAAGGUAACGGCUUACCAAGGCAACGAUGCAUAGCCGACCUGAGAGGAUGAUCGGCCACACUGGAACUGAGACACGGUCCAGACUCCUACGGGAGGCAGCAGUAGGGAAUCUUCCGCAAUGGGCGAAAGCCUGACGGAGCAACGCCGCGUGAAUGAUGAAGGUCUUCGGAUCGUAAAACUCUGUUAGUAGGGAAGAACAUAUGUGUAAGUAACUCUGCACAUCUUGACAGUACCUAAUCAGAAAGCCACGGCUAACUACGUG